rnacentral:rRNA from 1 species
CCUACGGGAGGCAGCAGUGGGGAAUAUUGCACAAUGGGGGGAACCCUGAUGCAGCGACGCCGCGUGAGUGAAGAAGUACUUCGGUAUGUAAAGCUCUAUCAGCAGGGAAGAAAAUGACGGUACCUGACUAAGAAGCCCCGGCUAACUACGUGCCAGCAGCCGCGGUAAUACGUAGGGGGCAAGCGUUAUCCGGAUUUACUGGUUGGAAAGGGAGCGCAGACGGCUGUGCAAGUCUGGAGUGAAAGGCGGGGGCCCAACCCCCGGACUGCUCUGGAAACUGUAAAGCUGGAGUGCAGGAGAGGUAAGCGGAAUUCCUAGUGUAGCGGUGAAAUGCGUAGAUAUUAGGAGGAACACCAGUGGCGAAGGCGGCUAACUGGACUGCAACUGACGUUGAGGCUCGAAAGCGUGGGGAGCAAACAGGAUUAGAUACCCUUGUAGUC